rnacentral:rRNA from 1 species
CAGUCGCCGCGGGAAUACGUAGGUGGCGAGCGUUGUCCGGAAUCAUUGGGCGUAAAGGGAGCGCAGGCGGGCAUGUAAGUCUUUCUUAAAAGUUCGGGGCUCAACCCCGUGAUGGGAAAGAAACUACAUGUCUUGAGUACAGGAGAGGAAAGCGGAAUUCCCAGUGUAGCGGUGAAAUGCGUAGAUAUUGGGAGGAACACCAGUGGCGAAGGCGGCUUUCUGGACUGCAACUGACGCUGAGGCUCGAAAGCCAGGGGAGCGAACGGGAUUAGAUACCCCCGUAGUCCCUGUCUCUUAUACA